GGCGGCCGCGCCGGGCCGGGCUGAGGGGCAUUGCUACCCAACAGCGGGAAGUGAGCUCUGGAGGCUUUUCUGUCAGAAUUAGUUUCCAGUUUAUGCGUCGGGCCACUCACUUCACUUUUUCCAAACGCCUACAAGUCUUGGGUGGGUCGUGGUAAAGAUGAACCAGGGGAUCAGGAUUCGCUGCGUUUGUCUGAGGAAAAGCUUUGCGUUCAGGUGCUGGCGAACACCUCCCCGUGCUUGCUCAGAUCUUGUCCUUAAAAGUGCUCCAGUCUAGAAUUCACCUAUUUCAGUGGCCUCUUCCUGACUUGUUCGUUUUGUUUUGGACGUCUCCGCCAGACUUACCCGAGUUGUUGCCAAGUGCACAAAUGCAGCCCGUCUCCUAGGUCGGCAGGCGUUUAAAAUUAUAUAUAUAUAUAUAUAUAUAUAUAUAUAUAUUCUUUGGCAGGAGCCGGGCCCGGUGAGGUGUUUCAUUCCCUUGGGAGCUGAAGGAGCGCUUCCCUGGGAUGUGGAAGUGCAGGGAGCGCCGACACGGACAGGCACCCCACAGCUCUGCUGGCUUACUGGAUAGUAAAGGUUUUAUGCUUUAAUGUCUCCAGUGUUAAGUCUCCUUGGACAGAGAACAAUAUAUUCGUAUCUUAAUAUAUGGCUGCAGUAAAGCUUCCAUGACUCUGGUUUAUUUCAAAUGUGAGUUCAUUAGCCCCUUUGUAUACAGUGAAAUAGACAGCAAUUGCAUUUAUUUCUCAAGGUGUUGCUUUUGGGGUAGCAAGGCUGCAGAGCACAGAUGGGCUGAGGCAUUAGAUGUGGGUUGGAAUAUUCAUGCAUCAAAUAUUACUGAAAUACUACUUUUCAGAGAAAGUGGCCUCCUUCCAAGUGACUGUGCCUUUUGGUGUAAUGGCGGUUUUUUCUUUGUUUGUUUUUUUUGGGUUUGUUUUUUUUUUCUCCCCCCCAAAAAACCCCAUCUACUUUUGAUGCAAGCCUUUGCAUUUAGGGUAGGGUAUGGCUCUGUCAGCCAGCAAAUACAGCACAAGUUGAUGCCUUUGGGGCUUAAGGGCUGAUUGCAAGGCAGGUUGCUCAGGCAGACAUUCUCUAUUUACAAGAUACUCAAGCACUCCAUUUUCUUAAUGUGUUUUCUCUUUUCUCUGCCUGUUAUAAGAAACAUUCUGCAAUUUGUGUCCUAUGAGUGCUCACCAUUGAGUCAGGCAUGACCUGGGCUUCGACGUAGAGUUUCUAGUGAACUGAACAUAUGUGAAUAUAUAUGGCUAAAUUAUUUUGCCUUGCUGAAGUUGACAGUAGGUAUUCUCAAAUUGCUCUUUAUUUGGUGUAAUGAGACCUUUCUUCUCUCUCUUUGCCUCUCAGGCACACCAGAGUUAUUAACUGGGGGGAAAUUUUAUCACUACCAUAUGAUUUCUUUAAAAAUCAUCCAGCCAAGGAAGUCACCCUUCUUAUGGUAAUAAGAAAUGAGUACGUCAUCUGAUGUUCUUUUCAUAAGCCUAAUUUAACUGCUUGAGGGGAGAUAGGCUGCUUUAAACACAACCACUUUAAUUAGCAUUAAAUGGUUUGAAUUUAAGUCUUUUGGGGAUAGAACUUCAUUGGUAAUGAGAUAAAUUUUAGAUUGACCAUAUAAGCACACCUUGCAUGUGUUUAAGCUUUCUGUUUCUCGUGUGUUUAGUCAGUUUUCAUGUACACAAACUCUGGAUCAGAUGAGCUACUGAAAUGGAGCACAGCUGUGCUGACAAGAAAAGAGCUGUGCCCACUUGUGCCAACUGAACAGGGGUCCCCUCUGUGGUCACACUUAUAACUGAUUUAUUUUUAAGUAAAGGAUGGGAUGGCUUCUUGGUCAGGUAUUUCUAUUGUCAGAAAUGCAAGCUUUUAUUUCUGACUUCUUGUGCAACCUGGAGCAAGCAAGUUCCCUCACUCUUUGUCUAUAAAUUGAGUAUUAUUAAGUUUAAUUCAGUGAUGCAUAAAAUGGGAUAAAUACUUAGAUUAGUUGGCCUUCAGUGUCAGAGUAUGAAAAUAAAUACCUUUAAAGAGCCAGUUCCUGAGCCAGGUUAAGUUGAAAUGCUUUCCCUAAACCCCUGGAGGAAUCAGUGUAGGUUCUGAAGGCCUGAUCCAUGUGCCUCUUGGGAGGUCUUCUGAAGCUCAGCCUUUACAAAAAUAUCAGGGUUUGCAUAUUGGACAUGCUGUAAAGGCUGGAAGAAUCUGUAAAUGUUACUUAUUAAUGGUGUCUAUUAUUAGAAGGAAAAAAAGCUUCUGUUAAAUUUUUCAAAUUGUCAGUGCAUUUAAAGCUGAAGCAAAUUUGAUUCUGCUGGCUGCACAAAAGUUGGUCACCAUCACUACUAUGGUGGGCUUUUUUCCUUCUUUGCUUUGACAACACUUUGCAAAGCUUGAGGAGAAAAAUUAUACACAGCUGUAGUAUACUUUUAAAGAAAAAUCUGAGUCUGUGUAAUCUAAGGGAAGGAAAUAAUAAAGCUGAGGAAACACUAAAAUAUCUGCAGGCUACUUGGCUUUGGUAAAAUGACUUUGCAUUGAAAAUAUAUAUUGUACUUGCCCAAUAGAAUGUAAAAUAUUAUUUAUUUACUCUGUGAUGAGGGCUGACCCACUUAUUUCUGUCCCAUAUUAAAUGGUGAGGGGCAUGAACACUAUCUCCAGGUUAAUAUUUCACCGUUCUCCAAGUCUUUUUUGUCCUUGUCAAAUAUUACACAGCUUCUGUGUAUGGCUGAGCUUUUCUUGCUAGAUGUGGUUAGGAGAGAAAAUUAGUUUUGGCCCACUCCAUGCAGACCUCCAAAAGAAAAGGCCUGAGGGGGAGAUUUUAUUUAGUAACCCUUUACACCCCUGCAUAGCAAUCGAGUGCUUCAGCACAGCCCCAAAUGCCUUUCUGCAGCUGUGAAAGGCACUGGUUGGUGUGCAAAGGGUGGCUCAGCUCCCACAGUGGCCACAGCAGCACAUCCCUGUAGCCCUGGACUGGCAGAGCUGGCUGGAGAGUCUGUGCAGCACUUCUGCUCUGGGGCUGUGCUAUAAUCACACACUGCAGGUGUCUGCACAGCCCUUUGGGGUUUUGCCUGUCACACGUUUAUCCAGCUCAAAGUAACCAGCUGCUGGUUUAUAAUUCAUAUAGAAAUGGAUGGGUGUAGAGUAUGGAUGCCAAUCAGCACAGUAUUCUAUGUUCUUCAUCUACUUCCUAGGUUGCUUAUACCCUCUGCUAAUUCUUUAUACGGGAUGGGUCAAUUUCUUUUCAGUCCCUGUGACCAACAAAGGGUGUCUGGAUAACAGAAUUAUGGAGUUCAUUUAUUUCACAGAAAUGUCUUGCCUCUUACCUAUAGAGUGAUGCUGUGAACCUCAGGAUAUUAAGAGUGAAUAACAAAAGAGGAUGAAUGCACUCCAUUUUCAGGCAGGCUGGUGGGUUGUGCAGGCAGUGGGCACUCGGCAGUCCUUAGCUUUAGAAUAUCAGUGUUGGGAUACACAUAGGAAGAUGUUCCUAGACAUUAUGUCUCUAGGCAGAUUCCACAUUAAAUAAGGAAAGACCAGGAGGGAGAAUGAGAUGGAAGCUGCAAGCCUAUGUCAGGCAAUAAAAGCAUGUAAACUAUGCUGUUUGACACUGGGAAAGAAUCCAGUUUGGUUUCCCCCCCUUGUACUGAGGGUGAUGAGAAAUGGCGAGCUUGGUUCUGUUCCCCCACUGUAAAGUUUUAGAUAAAUUAUCUCCACACAACUUGACUCCGGGGCAGGUUUUCUUUCCCUACUUUGUUCUUUAUGUCUAGGCUAUUUGCAACUCUCUCUGACAUUUUGCUAGAACUUCUAUGGCUUUUCUUUCAUCAGUAUUUAUUUUUUAAAUUACAGUAUUUUCCUCUUCUCCGUCCUCCAGAAACAUAACCAUUUGUGUUUUGCUAUAUGCCGAUUCCUUUAUGUCACAGGAGAAUGUUGGGUGAAAAGAAGACUACUACUUUGUCCCUGUGCUUUCUCCUGUGUUGUGUCAUUUUGUUCUGCUAGACAAACUAUCUUUGAUUUAGUGGUGUUGAAGUAUGAGUGCAUAAUAGAUUAUCUGUCACUGGACCAAAUCAAUCAUGGUUAACAGUGUAUUGACAGGGAAUAUAGCAACUAUCCUUGACCUGAGGUUUAAAGCACCUGUUGCCAACAUCAUGUGGUUUCUUGCUGCUGCCUGCCAUGAACUUUAAGGCAGAAUAUUCUUUAUCAGCUCUUUUAUUAUAACAUAUGUACUAGUUUUGUCUCUGACCUGUUUUUUUUUUUUCUUUUUAACUAAUAUAGGCCUCCCUUUUAAUUUGUGUAGCACAGAAGAACCCGGCCAGGCAGCACUCAGAGUUUUAAAAAUAAAAGAGAGAAAACCUCUUUUGAUUUAAAUAGAAGCCAGCCUUUGAACACUGAGAUAACGCUGAGAUUUUCAUUGUAGUUACCCUGCCAUCUAAUUGCCCAGGCCAGCAUGUUUUACAUACUCAUUUGUGGUACCUGUUUUCGGAGGGAAAGUAUGGAAUUAUUUUUGUGCAUUAUGGCAGUUCCUUUGCUCCUUUACUCACUUUAAGCAUUUAUGCUUCAGCUUUUCUUUCCCACAGCCCUAGGCAUUUGUAACAGCAUCAUUUAAUGUUAUAGCCAAAUGUUCCUGCUGUUUGCUGUGUAGCAUAAGAGCUGCAGCAGGUUCUGUUGGAGAAGGAGUCCUUUUCCUCCCCUGUGAGGGUGUUUUGGUAUUUGCCCCAUGAUCCUGGUCAUGGGGCCAGACAGAAUCGUUCCUCUGGGCUGUGAUGGGCAGGUGAGGAAGUGCUCUUGUUCCCAGUGAUAGUGGUGCUUGUCUGAAUUCAGAGAUGCCAAGGGUGAUUUGAGCAUGUGAACAUCCCUGCUGAACUUACUGGUACUUUAGUUCAGUAUGUGCUGCAGCCCAUUUGAGACCAGUGGCUUUGUGUGGUUCAGUGUCUUGGGACAAAAAGACGGACUCUGACCCAGUUGUCCAAAACUGAAAGCUUUAAUAAUACAAAAACAACAAACACUAAACCUCACAGGGUAUAUGGAGCAAACUGGAGGGUAUAUGGAGCAAACUGGGAGAGAGGGAGUCCAAGGAGGAUUGAUACACAAGGCAGAGGCAAAAAAUCCCUGGGUCAAGGGUCUGACAGGGAUAUAUCUAAACUUGGAUUAGAGGAGGAGUUUAAGGGAAGGAUCCAAUAGGGGGGGUGAUGAGGAAUAUUAAAAUUUCUGUGGCAAAACAUAGCCAACCAUAACACAGAGAACAAACAACUUUCUAGCUAGAUUAACAUAAGUGAAACUGGAGGAAUUAUGGGGCAAAACUUGUUCACCCUCACAGAGAGGGAUUUUCCCACAGCCUUAUGCCAUCAUCUAGCAUCUCUUUAUUAUAUUCAACCCCAACAAUGUGCUUAAAUGCUGUGCUAAAGUAGGAGCUUAUUUUGGAUCUCCAUGCAUCUUUACAAAGAUGAAAUGGUGAUGUGAAGUAAGUAAAGGAAUUAGUGCCAAGUGAAAAAUAAAAGACUUGGAGUACAUUAUUGAUGUACUUUUCUACUUCAGGAGAAAUGGAUUUGGUCAGCUUCCAAGCAAGCAGUGUCUUUUCUGUAGUUUGGCUUGUGGUUUGUGGACAAAUGAAAAUAUAUUUUGUCUAUGAACAAUGGUACUAAACCUUCAUCUUCCUUAUCAGAACAUCCAUAUAUUCACACAAGAAUGACCCAGCUUCUCCCAUAAUGGAUUUUUCCUCAUUGUUCUCUGUUUUGUUUUAUGGACAUGGCAGGUGUUUAGCCUAGAGAAAAGAAGGCUGAGGGGAGACCUCAUCAUUCUCUACAACUGCCUGAAACAAGGGUUUUUUUUUAAGGGGAAGAAGAAAUGUUUUCCUCUGUGGACCAGCCUGGAAAUACAUGCUGUUGGCAAGGACAAGGAGCCCAAAUGUGAAAACAGUUUUGUGACAUCCAGCUAAUACAGCAACAUGGAGAUGGAGCUCAAGAGGAGAACCCUGAUCAUUGUUUAUAAUAAAUGUGAAACAAAUAAACAGCUAUUGGAGGACAAACAGGUCAAUGAGAGCCUGGUGGAGGUUUCAGGAGAGAGAGAAGGAAGUGGAUGUUUUGU